AUGAACGCUGGCGGCGUGCCUAAUACAUGCCAGUCGAGCGAACGGACGAGAAGCUUGCUUCUCUGAUGUUAGCGGCGGACGGGUGAGUAACACGUGGAUAACCUACCUAUAAGACUGGGAUAACUUCGGGAAACCGGAGCUAAUACCGGAUAAUAUUUUGAACCGCAUGGUUCAAAAGUGAAAGACGGUCUUGCUGUCACUUAUAGAUGGAUCCGCGCUGCAUUAGCUAGUUGGUAAGGUAACGGCUUACCAAGGCAACGAUGCAUAGCCGACCUGAGAGGGUGAUCGGCCACACUGGAACUGAGACACGGUCCAGACUCCUACGGGAGGCAGCAGUAGGGAAUCUUCCGCAAUGGGCGAAAGCCUGACGGAGCAACGCCGCGUGAGUGAUGAAGGUCUUCGGAUCGUAAAACUCUGUUAUUUGGGAAGAACAUAUGUGUAAGUAACUGUGCACAUCUUGACGGUACCUAAUCAGAAAGCCACGGCUAACUACGUG
rnacentral:rRNA from 1 species